rnacentral:rRNA from 1 species
GGAUGCGAUCAUACCAGCACUAAAGCACCGGAUCCCAUCAGAACUCCGAAGUUAAGCGUGCUUGGGCGAGAGUAGUACUAGGAUGGGUGACCUUCUGGGAAGUCCCUGUGUUGCAUUCC